rnacentral:ncRNA from 1 species
ACUCAAUUAAGUGGAUAGAUUUGUAUCGAUUGCAACCACAUGAAAAAAUGCUAAACCAUUUUCUGCACUGCAUUAU